UACGUAGGGUCCGAGCGUUGUCCGGAAUUACUGGGCGUAAAGGGCUCGUAGGUGGCCAACUAAGUCAGACGUGAAAUCCCUCGGCUUAACCGGGGAACUGCGUCUGAUACUGGAUGGCUUGAGUUCGGGAGAGGGAUGCGGAAUUCCAGGUGUAGCGGUGAAAUGCGUAGAUAUCUGGAGGAACACCGGUGGCGAAGGCGGCAUCCUGGACCGACACUGACACUGAGGAGCGAAAGCCAGGGGAGCAAACGGG
rnacentral:rRNA from 1 species